CAGCCCACUUAUCUUUUCUUCCCCUCCUACUUCUGCCCUCAAACCCCACCCAAACUCGACGGUCUCUCCUUUAGCCCGUCCUUGUCUUUCUCAAGAUUUGUGCCCGUCUUGCCUACUUUUUCGGUGUGGCGUCAGAUGUAGCUUGUCAGAAGAUUGUCAGAACAUCAUAUUUUGGGUUCUCUUCUUGUCCUCUUUCCACUCAUUCCUUUUCCAUUUUGGAGAAUUUUUCAUUUAUUCUGCUAUAUUUCAUAUUCAUUAAGGAGACUGCAAGAUGGAGGCUUUGGCUGAAUGAAGCUAACGGAUUAAGAACUCUUUCUGGUGGACUUUCUUGGUGAGUUCUGGUCAUUUGCAAAGGAAUCUUCACAUACACCGAGGACUAUGGAGAGCCUCAGAUUAAGGAGGAUAAUUCCACAUGCUACAAAUGUGACUGCUGGACCACUUUCUUCAUCAUAUAUGAUAGAGAAAUCUCCUGGGAACUGAUGUGCCAGCACAACCUUUGCUAACAGGCUCCUGAUCUUCUGCAAUACUAGAACAUAUGACUGUUCUUGCUGUUAGUCCAGUUAGACCAGCUUGACUGUGUAUCUGUUUAAAAAAAGGACUGGAGGUAAUUGUCUUGGUUUGAUUGCCCUACCAUGUCACCAACGGUGCAAUCAGAUGCAUAGUUAUUCAAAACUAAAUCCCAGUUUGUUCAGUGGUGCUUAGUCCUAAGUAAGCAUGCACAGUUGCAUGUGAGAAACGUUAACUUGAGCAUGCCUAUCCUGAAUAGUGUUCAAUGUAAGGCACCAGAUUUAGCCAUAGGGACUAGAAAUCCACUAGUCUUAUGACUACCCCGAUACAGACAUAUCACCUUUUGCACCAAAUGCCUAUAGUCGGACAUUAUUUCUAAGAGAGUGAAGGUGAAAAGUUAUUUGUGACUGUUACACUGUCUAAGAAAUAGCUGAACCAUCUGAUCAGCAUCAUGUAUAGCAAAUUGAAAUUCAUUAAGAAUAAACCAUCAGAUCUGGAACUCA